rnacentral:rRNA from 1 species
UCCCUUUUUCUUGUGUUUAUAGAGAGAAGGCAACACCCAGCUCCAUUCCGAACCUGGCAGUUAAGCUUCUCUUCGCCGAUGAUACUGCAUCUUUCAGGUGUGGGAAUGUAGGUCGAUGCAGGGAUAGGGAAA